UGGCAGCAGUGAAAUCCAAUAAGAAACGGCUCCUCCAGGUCGCCUGUCAGGUGGCCGCGCCCCGGUGUUCUUCACCUCUUCUAUAGUUUCCUGUGAUCUGCUUGACGCUAAUGGCGGCCGGCGUCGGGGAUGCUGCGGAUCUCUCCUUAAGAUGUCGCAGGAGUUAAGGGCGCGGUUUCACGGACUGCAGAAGAGGCAGGCAGGUGAAGAACACCGGGUCUGCCGCGAGGUGGCAGUGGAAUGUGGCGGAGAAGCCAGCAGGAGAGCGGGGAGCGAACCUGGAGGUCCUUGGUCCCUGCCUACCCCAACCAUCGAAUGUGCCUUGGUGUGUCAUUGCUUCUAGGCCUUUUCAGUCCACAGAGCUGGGAUGGAUACACACCCACACUUACUUGAAAUCACGCCUUGAUUCAAUACCUCCGGUUCCAUACCAGCUCUUCUUUGCCCAAACUCCCUGAGGUCAACUGAGCGAGAGUGGUUGCCUAAGUUUUCAGCCUCUUCGCUCCCCACUUCCCUCUUCAAAUAGCCCCACGUUGCUCACAUAUCUUAAGUAUAUGUACCUAUUUGAACCCAGAGCCUCCACUUUGACAUCAGACUACCCCAAUUUCAGGUGUGGCCCUGCCAGUCAAGAGUUUUGUGUUGUGGGUAAACCCAAGGUCUGUUCAAAAGGAUGAUAACCUCUACCUCCAGGGGGUGAUUAUGAGAAUAAAAUUUUGUGCACAAAAGCAAGCAUUUAUUCUGUGGCAGCAUUAUUAUUAUUAUUAUUGAACCUAUCUGUAAUGCUCCUGGUUUCUCCUUUUAAUCAAUGGAUACAGACUUCUCAGGCUCCAAGACCCAACUUGUUACAUCUCUCUGAUGGCUUUGCUGAUAACCUCCACAUGUUCUUCUCUCCCCUUCCUUGUCAUUACUUUAUCAUGAAUAUGUG
rnacentral:lncRNA from 1 species